rnacentral:rRNA from 1 species
UACGAAGGGUGCAAGCGUUAAUCGGAAUUACUGGGCGUAAAGCGUGCGUAGGCGGUUGGCUAAGUCAGAUGUGAAAGCCCUGGGCUCAACCUGGGAAUGGCAUUUGAAACUGGCCGGCUAGAGUGUGAUAGAGGAUGGCGGAAUUCCCGGUGUAGCGGUGAAAUGCGUAGAGAUCGGGAGGAACAUCCGUGCGAAGGCGGCCAUCUGGAUCAACACUGACGCUGAGGCACGAAAGCGUGGGGAGCAAACAGGG